UUAAUUUAAAAACCUAAAAAGACUGGGGACCAAACAGUACAAUCGCCGACAAAAACAAACAGCUGGAACAAAAGAGUUAGGAGAAGAUUCUGGGUAAGAGAGAUAGAGAAGAAACAGGCACUGAGUUUGGGAAGAGAUAAACAUCGGGUCUUUGAAGCUCAAACAAUAAUCAAAAGCAAAGAAAAGACCGCCGGAAGCAAAAGAUAGUUUUGAGAGAAAAGAAAAACAGAGUGACGACGCCGUUAGAUGCGCGGAGAAGAAAAACUCACCGUGUACGGAGCAGAAACCCGAGAAGAAGAUUCGGAUCUCUCCAUCGAGGCGUUGAUAAAAUCGAUCAAACCAGAAGAAGGUUGAAGAAAAAAAGAUAGUGGAGAGCUUUUUCUGAUAAAAUAGUGGUCAGAGUCUUUUGAAAAACGCUCAUCAUGCGAUGCAAUGUAAGAGGUAACGCCUCGUGCUGGGACCCACAAAUAUCAAUAUUCUAACAACCGUUUAUGGAGCAACUGGAUUAUAAUUUUUAUGUGAUUAAUUAUUUUAAUAGAAUGGAAGUCAUUCUACCAAUCUCAAAAAUAAUUAAAUAAAAUACAAAGAAAAACUAUUCUUUGACAAAUUUGUUAAUGAAUAAAUAAAAUAAAUAUUAUUAUACUUUUUGAUGUAUUUCAGUUUUACUAUUUCAUUUAUUUUUAAUUCACUGACUUUUAUUAGUUCACCAAUCACAGCUUCAACAUAUAUGUUUUAAAGCUACAGAAUAUUUAGUUUUAAGUUUAUGUACGUAUACACCUAAUAAAUUCAUGUCAAGUGUUUUUUUCGUGUACAUAAAAAAACAAAAAAAAACACUCACCAUAUACGAAGCAGAAACACGAAAAGAUUCAGAUCUAUCUUUCCAUGGAGAAGAACAAUACUUUUGUUUUUAGGGAUUUAGGAAGAAUGGUUCAUUCUUUGUUUAGCAAGAAGCUAUUUAGAAUACCAUUUCUUUUAUUUUUUUAUCAAUCAUAUUAAUUUACCAAAAUAAUUUAAAUCUACAAACUAAAAUUAAA